rnacentral:rRNA from 1 species
UACGUAGGGUGCGAGCGUUGUCCGGAAUUAUUGGGCGUAAAGAGCUCGUAGGUGGUUUUGUCGCGUUGUUCGUGAAAAACCGGGGGCUUAACCCCUCGGCGUGCGGGCGAUACGGGCAGACUUGAGUACUGCAGGGGAGACUGGAAUUCCUGGUGUAGCGGUGGAAUGCGCAGAUAUCAGGAGGAACACCGGUGGCGAAGGCGGGUCUCUGGGCCGAUAUUGACGCUGAGGAGCGAAAGCGUGGGGGAGCGAACAGG